GGCCUGACGCAGCGACGCCGCGUGUAGGACGAAGCCCCUCGGGGUGUAAACUACUGUCAGGGUGAAGAAAGACAAAGGCUGUAAUGCCUGCGUUUGAUCGAUCCCAGAGGAAGGACCGGCUAACUUCGUGCCAGCAGCCGCGGUAAUACGAAGGGUCCAAGCGUUGUUCGGAAUCACUGGGCUUAGAGAGCACGUAGGCGGGAAGCUAAGUGUCCUGUGAAAUCCCUCGGCUCAACCGAGGAACUGCGGGACAUACUGGCUUUCUUGAGGCAAGUAGGGGUGCAUGGAACUCUAGGUGGAGCGGUGAAAUGCGUAGAUAUCUAGAGGAACGCCAGCGGAGAAAUCGGUGCACUGGGCUUGUUCUGACGCUAAGGUGCGAAAGCGUGGGGAGCGAACGGGAUUAGAUACCCCGGUAGUCCACGCCGUAAACGAUGUCUACUAGGUCGUGGCGAAUCUGACUUCGUCGCGGCCGAAGCAAAAGUGUUAAGUAGACCGCCUGGGGAGUACGGUCGCAAGGCUAAAACUCAAAGGAAUUGACGGGGGCUCACACAAGCGGUGGAGCAUGUGGCUUAAUUCGAAGCAACGCGAAGAACCUUAUCCUGGGUUUGACAUGCUUGGAUGCCUGCCGUGAAAGCGGAUUUGGCUGCCUUCGGGUGAAACUUGCACAGGUGCUGCAUGGCUGUCGUCAGCUCGUGUCGUGAGAUGUUGGGUUAAGUCCCGUAACGAGCGAAACCCUUAUCGUUAGUUGCCAACGCGUUAUGGCGGGGACUCUAGCGAGACUGCCGGUGUUAAACCGGAGGAAGGCGGGGAUGACGUCAAGUCCUCAUGGCCUUUAUGCCCAGGGCUGCACACGUGCUACAAUGGCGAGGACAAACCGACGCAAGACCGUGAGGUGGAGCAAAUCGGAAAAACCUCGUCCCAGUUCGGAUUGCAGGCUGCAACUCGCCUGCAUGAAGUCGGAAUCGCUAGUAAUCGCAGAUCAGCUAUGCUGUGGUGAAUAUGUUCCUGAGCCUUGUACACACCGCCC
rnacentral:rRNA from 1 species